rnacentral:rRNA from 1 species
CUUGCUUCUCUUGAGAGCGGCGGACGGGUGAGUAAUGCCUAGGAAUCUGCCUGGUAGUGGGGGAUAACGUUCGGAAACGGACGCUAAUACCGCAUACGUCCUACGGGAGAAAGCAGGGGACCUUCGGGCCUUGCGCUAUCAGAUGAGCCUAGGUCGGAUUAGCUAGUUGGUGGGGUAAUGGCUCACCAAGGCUACGAUCCGUAACUGGUCUGAGAGGAUGAUCAGUCACACUGGAACUGAGACACGGUCCAGACUCCUACGGGAGGCAGCAGUGGGGAAUAUUGGACAAUGGGCGAAAGCCUGAUCCAGCCAUGCCGCGUGUGUGAAGAAGGUCUUCGGAUUGUAAAGCACUUUAAGUUGGGAGGAAGGGUUGUAGAUUAAUACUCUGCAAUUUUGACGUUACCGACAGAAUAAGCACCGGCUAACUCUGUGCCAGCAGCCGCGGUAAUACAGAGGGUGCAAGCGUUAAUCGGAAUUACUGGGCGUAAAGCGCGCGUAGGUGGUUUGUUAAGUUGGAUGUGAAAUCCCCGGGCUCAACCUGGGAACUGCAUUCAAAACUGACUGACUAGAGUAUGGUAGAGGGUGGUGGAAUUUCCUGUGUAGCGGUGAAAUGCGUAGAUAUAGGAAGGAACACCAGUGGCGAAAGCGACCACCUGGACUAAUACUGACACUG